rnacentral:tRNA from 1 species
GGGCGGUUGGCUCAAAGAAGGAAAUGCACGGUAAAAGCAAAUGCCGAAAUCAAUAGUCGCUUAUUAGGGGUUCGAGUCCCUUACCGUCCA